UGGGGAGUAUUGGACAAUGGGCGAAAGCCUGAUCCAGCCAUGCCGCGUGUGUGAAGAAGGUCUUCGGAUUGUAAAGCACUUUAAGUUGGGAGGAAGGGCAGUAAGCGAAUACCUUGCUGUUUUGACGUUACCGACAGAAUAAGCACCGGCUAACUCUGUGCCAGCAGCCGCGGUAAUACAGAGGGUGCAAGCGUUAAUCGGAAUUACUGGGCGUAAAGCGCGCGUAGGUGGUUCGUUAAGUUGAAUGUGAAAGCCCCGGGCUCAACCUGGGAACUGCAUCCAAAACUGGCGAGCUAGAGUAGGGCAGAGGGUGGUGGAAUUUCCUGUGUAGCGGUGAAAUGCGUAGAUAUAGGAAGGAACACCAGUGGCGAAGGCGACCACCUGGGCUCAUACUGACACUGAGGUGCGAAAGCGUGGGGAGCAAACAGG
rnacentral:rRNA from 1 species